rnacentral:tRNA from 1 species
GGGGGAAUUCCCGAGCGGCCAAAGGGGGCAGACUGUAAAUCUGUUGUCAACGACUUCGGUGGUUCGAAUCCACCUUCCCCCACCA